rnacentral:snRNA from 2 species
AUCUCUUUUCUGCCUUUUGGCUAAGAUCAAGUGUAGUAUAUGUUCUUAUCAAAAACAAAAAAACAACUAAAAAGAGAUAGAGAAGGCACUGAACUGCUUUAAUAACUUGUAGUAAUUUCAAGGUCAUAUCAGAGUAAGAUCCCUG